ACUGCUUUUCUGAGAGGCCAGGUGGCAGGAUGUGGGACGACUCCAGCUGACAAAGACAGUCUAACCGUGGGGUAGGGGCUGGAGCAGGGGCCAGCGACCCACGUCUACAUGCAUACUUCUCUUACACUGCUGCUACUGGAAAAGCUGAACCCCGCGCCAGGACCCCAGCCCCCUGCAAGGACCCGUGAGCGUCUGGGAAGCUGUCUCUGGGACUGAAGCCCCCCACCUCCGCCGGGCUGGCGGCCACUGCGGUACCCUACGCCCCGUCGGGCUGGUCCUGCACAAUUUGGGAAAAAGCCGCAGCGCUUCUGCAAGGUCUACGUGGCCAUGAGCAUGCAACGCUUGGCUCCAAAAAAGACACGAAAGGAGCAAAGCGCCAACGACCACCCGAUCGGAGGGCCCGAGGGGCGCCUCUUCACCAGUCAGCUGCAGCUUAAGUUCCGUGCAUUAUCUGAAAGGAACAGCUGGCUGGAGGUAUCCAGGGCUGUCACUCCAACCUCUGCAGCAGUGACCUCAACUCCCAGCACUUCAAAACCCAGACAGAAACGUCCAACAAACUCCCAGUCCAGGAGCGCUGCAAAACCAACGCCAGUUGUUUUUCUGCAGAAAAUCAUCAACUGUGGAGAAGAAGAAGGGAAAUAAGAAAGAAAGAAAACCCUAAAAACCACCCUGGCGCCCGGGCCCGCAGGCCUCGGGCCGGCUCUGAAAAGUUUGGGCUGUGCACGUGAUGAGCGCGUAGGCGGGAGCCCCAGACAGGACCCGGGCGGGCAUUUCGAGAAAAAGCAGCGGUGACAGCCUUUGGUCCCCAUCUCCAUUGUUCCUGCCAGCUCUGGACCCCAGGCUGCAUGAGACGUAGGUCCCAGGGGACACCCGACCCCGUGGCCCCAGUCUUAGGUAAACUUAGGAAUCAGAACAACACUCACCCCUAUGCCGCGCUUGCUCCAUUUCCCCUUGUCUAUUUCUGCUCACCAAGCAUCCAGCUGACAUUGCAUUCAAAGCAGCAUUUCAGCUUAGAAAUCGCUUCUAGUCCAUCACGGUGCUUGCCAUGUGUCUCCAAGGCUUUAUUAGGUGUGUUUUUAGUUGUCCUGAUAAUCAGUUCACCCCAGGGUGCUGAUGGCUGAUAAUACUGGCGCUUCCCUCCCUACCCCCAUGCGUUGCACAGGGAGGGUGAGUCAUGUGGAGAUGGAUGCAGCCCCCUGGGCAGUGGGGGUGCAGGUGCUGUGCAGGGAGGAGUCUUAGGGCGUUUUUACUGUCUUACUGCCCUCUAAGCACGGGACCCUUUGGAUCAUUUACUAGAUUGGCUAAACUAGAACCGGAUGGAAAUAUUCUGUACUAUGGUCCCCUUAAUUACAUUUAAGAAUACUUGUCAGGCCAUAUAUCACAGGUUUUUAAUUAGAAAAGUAUCCUCCUCUCGCCAGUAAGGACUUGCAGAGAUGGGGGUGGGGGCUGGAUGGAGGGUGGCACUUUUUUGGCAAAAAGAAGUUUGGAGCAGAGUGUCACUAGUGGCCUCUCUGAAGACUGGUCCUCGUCUUUUAAAACCGAUGGCUGGAAUUUCUUCCAGUUCCAAACCUCUUGUUAUUUGUCCUCUCUUCUUGUUCACAAAUGUGCUAUCAACAUUCAAACAAUGGAUAGUCAGCUAUCCAUUGUAAAUGGACCUUGCUGGAGUCCAGGGCUAGCAGAAAUGACAGGGUCUAAAAUGACAUUUAUCAAGUACUUGCUAUAUGCUUAUAUAUGCUUUUUAUAUGAAGGUUAAGAAGCUUGAGGCAUUUGCCCAGUUUCCACAACCAAAAGGGGCAGAGUCGCCAGUGGCAUUAAGCCUGUGUUACUCCAAAGCCCAUAAUGACCAGUCUUACUAGACCAUUCCUCUCAGGAAAGAUCCUGUGAGACAGGUACUCUUUUGGUGUCCUGUCUCCCAGCCUCUCAAAACAGCCAAACACGGACCUUAGACAGAAUGCGGCUUCAGAGGUAGAAGGGUCUUGGUUUCACCUUCAGGAAACCUCCUGGGUUUCAGUUGAGCUGGCAGAAGAAGAUCAUGUAUCUGAAAGACCCUGCAUGGAAUGUUAAUCCUCACACCACUCUCCUGCUGGUGCUCCUUUGUAAACAGAGUUGGCCUGUUUCCUCUCAUCUCUGGCUCCAUGACUUCAAUCCUCCUGCAGCUUCCACUGCCCCUAUCUGGCUCAUGUCUUGCUGUCUGGUGUCAUGAACUGGGAGUGCAGUAAAGAGGAGUGACAAGCCUGAGGGGCCACGUUCAUACCUGCCACUGCCAACUGUCCUGAUGUAACUGCUUUGUCAUCUUGCCUGCCAGGAUUUGUGACAAGGUAAUAGCAGUCAGAUGCAGGAGUGGUCUAUAGCCCUGGAUUAUGUUCGAACUCCACUUUCCAUGAUUCUACUGCUGGGCUUGUGAAUUGCCACUCCCACCACCAGGCGGUCUUUACUGUCCUUUCCACCUUCUAAAUCAGCGCUGUGUUGGGCUGUACCCUUGCCUUUUCCCCUUCUAUUAUGUAACACAUGGACAAGACCAAUGACAAUUUUCUUGGUGAAUCAGAAGGAAAGAAAAGAAGAGAAGGAGAGAGUAUAGAUGGAAUGCCUUCUUAUGAAAAAAAGGAGAAAUACAAUUUGGGGAGAUUUGUUGAAUAAGUUGAAACCAAAGAGAUAUAGAAUGCUGAAAAGCCUUGAAGGAGAUUUAAUUUGAGCUAUAGGCCUUGUCAAGAUGGACAGAACUCUUUAAAGAAGAGAAUAUUUAUUAACAUUUAGUAGACACUUAGGAGAAAAAAUAUGUCUCCUUAUUAGAUGAAAAAGGAAUUCUGAUUAUGUGAAAUAUUUUUGGAGAGUUCCUAAGUUACGUGCCAUUUUGACACCAAUGCUGGGGUUUAUGGGUCAUGAACUAUGUAAAAUGAGCACACAUGACCUCUUGGAAUUAAACGGUUCCCGUGAGACUGUGCUUGCAGCCUGUAUCCCUGUACCAUGCAGUAAAAAAGAUGUGCUUGCCCAGAUGGGGGGAGCAGGAAGAACCUGAUGAAAGAGAGCACCACGUGUGACAAGUGAGAGGAGACCCUGCUGAGCUCAAACAUAUUUCAUGAGCCUUUCUUAAUCAAGAAUCAGCAACAGUUGAUUGGUUGUUGAUUCUUUUUUUUUUUUUUGAGACGUCGUCUUGCUCUGUCGCCCAGGCUGGAGUGCAGUGGCGCGAUCUCAGCUCACUGCAAGCUCCGCCUCCCGGGUUCACGCCAUUCUCCUGCCUCAGCCUCCCGAGUAGCUGGGACUACAGGCGCCCGCCACUACGCCCGGCUAAUUUUUUGUAUUUUUAGUAGAGACGGGGUUUCGCCGUGUUAGCCAGGAUGGUCUCGAUUCUCCUGACCUCGUGAUCCACCCGCCUUGGCCUCCCAAAGUGCUGGGAUUACAGGCGUGAGCCACCGCGCCUGGCCCCUGGUUGUUGAUUGUUAAUUAGCAUGCGUCUGCAGUCCCAGCUACUCGGGAGGCUGAGAGGGAAGGGUCCUUUGAGUCCGGGAGUUUGAGUCUAUCCUGGGCAACAUAGUAAGACCCAUGUUUCUAAAAAUUAAAAAAAUAAAAAAGAAGAAAUUAUGUAUUUUUAAUAAUCAGUGACACUCUCUUUCUGAGACUGUACAGAAUUCCAGGGCAUGGCAGUCAUGGGCCAAACUAAAACUGGACCUUUUGUGUCUUUUGUACAAUUGCCCCCUCCCCUUUUCCCUGCACUGUGCUCUAUUGGAAAGGCAGAUUCAUAGAAAACAUAUUGGGAAGCAGCCUUAGGUAACUAUGGCAGCUUAGUUAUUGUAGGGUAGCUUUGAAUCAUGUUUCAGAUUUUCAAAUUCUGCCUCAAACAUUACUAAAGGGUAACGUUUGCACAUUCAAGGCCACUACAAGGGCUAGUUCUGAGAAUAAAGAGAAGCUUUCUGUGGAUUAUAACCGUGAGAACUGGGAUAAUGAUGUCAUAAAUUUCAUCAUCCUAUGAAUGCCAAAUUCUACUGAAUGUUGCUUCUUAUCUAGGGACCUCAGAUCCUUUACAUGUGUUAUCUGGACUGAAUGGAGAAACCCAAGACCCACCAUGGUGGAGGGACAACUGAAGUCCUUAGUGACCCAGUGAGUCAUAGUACCAGGAUCAAAGACCCUCCACUGGGAAGGAGGCAGUUGGUGUAAUGACAAGUACAGUUCCUUCUGUUGCACUUUGCCUGAAAGCGUGCGAUGCUGACAUCUCAAACUUGUCAGAAAAUCCACUAUCCCUGUGAAUUCUGUUUUAUUUCCUGUCAACACUUGGCUGAAACACUUGGGAAAGUAAUUUUAUUUUACAUCAUAAAUAUAAAUAUUCAAUUCUUAGUUUCAUUUAUGUUUCUGUGAAGGCUGCUAUUAAUGACCAAAUAGGAUGUUAGAAAGCCCAGAAAUGGGUGUUAUUAGGAACGAGCUAGAAAGCAGUGUUGGUUUUAGCAGUAAGCCCGGUGUUUCUGAGAUAAAUUAGUUCCUGUUACUUGGAAUAGUGCAAGCCAUUGUGAAAAUUUGCCUUGACAUUCCCCUUUCUCAUUUGUCCCUCAAUCCCUUCAGUCUAGUUUGGGGUCUCUAUAAUCCUGCUCCUUUGGCUGCCAGCCAUCUCCAUAAAAAAAGAAUUUGAAAGGCUUCCAUUCUUUCAGAGACCUGUUUCCCGGGACUGGCUGCAAGGGAGAGAUGCACUGACCUUCUGCCAGGUAUAGAACUAUUGAAUGGUACAGUUUGAGAUCUUCGAAACCAUCAGGACUGAUCAUUUUCUGGCUACUUUCUACAUAGGAAUCCUAGAGUUCCUUGGAGAGGAUAUGAAGGUUAUUCUCAGGCCAUGCAGAUGGGCAAGAAAGGAUGUGCGUCCAUGGUUCCUCUUCAAAUCCAACCAAAACAGCCUUGCUUCCGUUGGCUUUAUAUAAUACUGCAACUCUUGAUAAUCUGAUUUAACACAAAUUUCCUCAUUGAGUUUCUCCUCAUGAAGAAACGGCCUCAGUGAGGUAAAUCGGAAUGCACAGGAGCACAUAGCAGGUUAGUGCAGACCAGAAAUCAAACCCAGGCUUUCUGACUGCUCAAUAGACCACAAUCUACCAUGCUACCAUGGAAACUUUAAAACAGAUGAAAGUAAAAACAAACAAACAACAACUUAAAAAAACAAAAACAAAAACAAAAGCAAAACCCAGAGCCUCUCUAGGAAAUACCAACGUGCUUUUGCCAAGUGGGGUUUCUCUCACUUCAUAAGAGCAGUAAACACUAAACCAAGGGAAUGUGAAUUUAGAGGUUAGAAAAGAUAACCAGAGAUUUGGCCGUGCGUGGGGCUCAUGCCUGUAAUCCCAGCACUUUGGGAGGCUGAGGCUGGUGGGUUGCCUGAGGUCAGGAGUUUGAGACCAGCCUGGCCAACAUAGUGAAACCCUGUCUCUACUAAAAAUACAAAAAUUAGCUGGGUGUGGUGGCGUGCACCUGUAAUCCCAGCUACUAGGGAGGCUGAGGCAGGAGAAUCGCUUGAACUGGAGAGGUGGAGGUUGCAGUGAGCCGAGAUGGUGCCAUUGCACUCCAGCCCGGGCAAGAAGAUUGAAAUUCCAUCUCAAAAAAAAAAAAAAAAGAAGAAGAAGAAGAAAAGAUGCCAGAGAUUUGGCGGGGUGCCGGGCUCAUGCCUGUAAUCCCAGCACUUUGGGAGGCCAAAUGGACAGAUCACUUAAAGUUAGGAGUUCCAGAAAAGAUGCCAGAGGUUGGGCCUUUACAUUGUUUUGUAAAUUCGUCAAACCUUAAUCUUAUUUAACUUCCCCACCUAUACAAAAAUUAAUGCAGUAAUUGCUUUUUAAGGAAGCAUUCCAAAGGCCAAAUAAUUCAUAUAUGUCAAGUACCCUGGGAUUCAGGAAAGAAAAAUUCUCUAUAGCUCUAAAGCAAGGAUUAUAAUUUGAGGUUUCCUGACAGUUUUUUUUAAGAAAAGAAAUACCAACCUUUCUUUUCUGGGCCAAAUGCCAAGGUAGGUAAUAACCCCUUGCCCAUUUUCUUUCCCCAAGCUGUUUUAACUAGAUAAGAGCUCUGCCUUCAUUUCCUUUUGUGAACUGACUUGGGAUGUUGCCACAUGCCCUUCAACUACUGUCAAUGCUCUAGUUUGCUGAGUGCUUUCCCCUUCAGAAUGGAAAAGGUUUUGGCAUAAAUAUCUAGCUUUCUUCAAGGUACAAAAUGCUUUCCAAGGAGCAGAGGACAGAGGGAACAAACUUUCAUGUUUCCCAAUUGUAUUAGUCUGUUCUCAUGCUGCUAAUAAAGACAUACCCAAGACUGUGUAAUUUAUAAAGGAAAAAGGUUUUACUGACUCACAGUUCCACAUGGCUGGGGAGGCCUCACAAUCAUGGUGGAAGAUGAAGGAAGAGCAAAGGGAUGUCUUCCAUGGCCAGCAAAAAGAGAAUGAAAGCCAAGGGAAGGAGAAAACACCUUAUAAAAUCAUCAGAUCUCAUGAGACUUAUUCACUACCAUGACAACGGUAUGGGUGAACUGCCCCCAUGAUUCAGUUAUCUCCCACCGGGUCCCUCCCACAAAAUGUGGGAAUUAUGGGAGCUACAAUUCAAGAUGAGAUUUGGGUGGGGACAGAGCCAAACCAUAGCACCAAUACUAGAUCCCUCAGCUUCAAGGUGGCUCCAGUGAUCCUAAGAGGAUCAAGGAAGCCCUACCUCCCUGCUUGUCCUGGAUGUCUCUGACACAUGUUAAGGGAAAAGCAUUAAUAAAGUGCUCAAGAAACAAUUGUUCAAUAGGUCAGUCUUAUAGUCAAUACCUCAUCCCAUGCUCUGUCCCCUACUCUUUGAAAAACUGCCCAAAGAAACAAUGGAUCCACGGAGUCACAAAAACAGGGCAUCCAGUGACCCUCCCCAUCUUACCAGCAAUGUGACUUUCCCACAGUAUAACGACAGCAGUGCCCAGAGCCCAAUACAAGCAGGGCUCUACACUGAGACAGAGCUGAGUUCUAGUAGCAACUACCCUCCUUAUAGCAGUGUUAUUUUAGGCAAGUUUCUCAGCUUCUGGAAGGUUCUUUUCUCAGGCUUACAUACUUUUUACCCGAAAAGAUCUUGGAGUCGUCCAUAUCAGCACAAGCAAUCUACAUUAUUAGUUUUUUUAAUGGCUGCACAGCAUUCCAUGAUAUGGCUGUACCAUUACUUAACUAUCGAUGAACAUUUAGGCAGUUUCCAGUCUCUUUCUGCAGGAGCCAAUGCUGCAAUGUGGUGGGUCAUAACUUUUUCUUUUUUUCAAAUGUGGUCUCACUAUUUCUUCCAGGCUGGAGUGUAGUGGUAUGAUCACAGCUCACUGCAGCCUCGAACUCCUGGACUCAAACAAUCCUCCUGUCUCAGCCUCCAGAGCAACUGGGAGUACAGGUGUGUGCCACCAUGCCUGACUAAGUUUUUAAAUUUUUUGUAGAGAUGGGGUCUUGCUAUAUUGACCAGGCUGGUCUUGAACUUCUGGCCUCAAGAAAUCCUCCCACCUGGGCCUCCCAGAGUGCUGGGAUUACAGGAAUGCACCACUGUGCCCAGCCCUAAAUAACUAUUUUUAUUUCCCUUUCUGUAACCGCUCAUCUUUUGUGCAUUUUUCCUUGGGUAUUGGCCUUCUUAUCAAAGUUUAAGAACUGUUUAUAUAUAGGGAUUAACCCUUAGUCUGUUGUAUGAAUUGCAAAUAUACAUGUAUUUUUAUUUGUAUAUGCAAAGUUUGUCUUUUAUCUUUGUAUAUGGGAUAGUUUUCCAAACACAGUUUUAUUUUAUUUUAUUUUUCAUCUUGCAUGUCUUUCCAAAGUACCAAGCAGAGUUUUUUUAAAAGUUGUUUUAUGGCUUCUGGGUUUUUUAAGUCAUAUUUAGAAAGAUCUUUCCCACUCUGAAAUUAAAAAAAUAAAUAAAUAAAAUCUCCCAAUUAAAAAAAAUUUGUGACUUUGUUUUUCAUAUUUAAAUAUUUAUUCCAUCUGGAAUUUAUUUUAUUUUAAGCUGUAAAGUAGAGACCUCAUUUUAUUGUAUUUCUCCAUAUGGCCACCCAGUUGUUACAAUACCAUUUACUAAAUAAUACAUCAAUUGCCACUGAAUUUAGCAUACCAACUGAAUUUAGCAUGUACUAAAUUUUCAUGUGUGUUUUGUUUGUUUGUUUGUUUUUGAGACAGAGUCUCGCUCUGUCACCCAGGCUGGUGUGCAGUGGUGCGAUCUGGGCUGACUGCAACCUCUGCCUCUCAAGUUCAAGCGAUUCUCUUGCCUCGGCCUCCCAAGUACUGGUACUACAGGUGCCUGCCACCACACCUGGCUAAUUUUUGUAUUUUUAGUAGAGACAGGGUUUUGCCUUGUUGCCAGGUUGAUCUUGGACUCCUGACCUCAAGUGAUCCUCCUGCCUCAGCCUCCCAAAGUGUUGGGAUUACAGGCGUGAGCCACUGCGCCCAACCCUUCUGUGUGUAUUUUGAUGUAUUGGACUUUCUAGUCUGUUCCAUUAAUUUCUUGUCUGUUCUUAGGCAAAGAAAGCAUUGUUUAAAUCGGAAUUUUGUAACAUGCUUUACUGUCUAAUAGAGUAUCUUCUAACUUUUUUCUAUGAUUUUCCUCGCUAAUGUUACUUGUUUAUUUUUUCAUAUGAACUUCAGUAUCCAUUAAUCUAGUCUUCCCCCGACUCCCAACAAAAUUAAUUACUAUUUUGUGAGGGGUAGUGCAUUAAACUUAUGAAUUAAUUUAGGAUGACUUAACAUAUUUAUGAUAUUGGACCUUUUUACUGAAGAUUAUGAUAUGCCUAUUUAACUUUUUGUGCUCCUCAGUAGUAUUUUGAAGUUUCUAAGUAUAGAUGUCAUAGAGUGUUUAAAUGUGAAGAGGGUAUAAUAAUGGUACUUCCUGCAAAGAGUUAUUGUAAAGAUUAAAUGAAGAUAAUAGUCAGUGCCUGGUCAUAACACACACUUAAAAAAUUAAAGCAUGACAAAUGCACACUUAUCGCCAUAUCCUGGACUAUGUGUGACUAAUCUAAUAAGAUAAAUCGGUCUUUCAAUAAUCUCAAAUUUCCAUGGUUGUGACUCACACUUGGCUCUACCCUUGAAAUAGGAACUCUUUUUCUACUUAUGUCGCACUCACUAUGUCCUGCUCACCUCUGUGAAAAGUGAAUUGAGACAACCAGAAGUCCCACUAGGGGUAUCUGUGGCCAUCUUUGGACAGGAGAUAUUCAGGGUAUGGCUGCCGUGCCGAUCAAGGGAAGUAUCAGGACCCAGAAAGAGGUGAUUGCAUAAAAGUCACAUUUCACAUCUCUCUUGACAACUCUGGACAGGAGGAAGAAAAUAUUAAAAAUACAUUACAGCUUUCAAAGCUACUUUAUUUUUGUUUUGAAGGUAGAGGAUCUCCCUCCAUAGGAUAACAGGGGGGUUGAUAAGAUUGCUCAGAUGUCGAUCACAUGUAGAGUCUGGAUUUAUUGUCUCCCGACACUCAGCACCCCAUAUCCAUAUAUGUAAUACACCUUAUGGCACGCUCACUGUAUACUAAGUAUGAGCUAACUGUUUUAUUCGCUUUAUCAUAUUUAAUUUUCUGAAGUAAGUAUCAUUAUCCCAUGUUACAGACAGAAUAACUGAGUGUUAAUGUCACAGCUCUAGAAACUGGUAAAACUGCAUCUGGAAAUUUGCUUGUCUUCAAAGUCUGUGCUAUUAACACAGUGCUUAAUUUAGCUGAUUUUAAAGAAGCUAAAUAAAACCAACUGUAAAAUAAAUUGAAAUAUGAUUUGACUGCAUGUCAGAGCAUGCUCCUUCAUCUGGAACAGAAGCAUUGUCAUGCUAGGUAUUAUUAGUGUAUACCUUGUUUUCGCUAGUAAAAUUGCACCUUGACUGAGGGCUGUAGUUCCUGGUCUAUCUUGAAAAUCAGUCUGAAUAAUAUCCUAGGAAAUCUAACUAUCUUUUCAGCUGCAUUUGCAGGAGGAUAAGGUUUUCAUUUUUAUGUGACAGAAAAUGCUAUCACAUCAAUAUCCAAGGAGUACUCUGUUAAAUUGUCUUAAUUUUUUAAUGCCUUCAUUUGGCAGAAAACUUAUUUAUGUCACACUUCCAUUUGGCCUUUCCCAGGUAACCUAUUCAACCUCUGAGAAAUACAUCAGCAAGUAGGAAAAAUGGCCUAGCAAAUUACUUAUUCCCCAAGGGAAAAGCAUGUGGCCAAUGAAUCAGGGGAAACUGAUUGCCCAGGGAAGGGAACACUCAAGGCGUUUCAAUAUGAGUCACCAAACAUAAGGACUACCCCAUGAUCAAAAAAGGUGAAUGAACAAAGCCAGGAUUCCUUUUAGAGUUUCCAUCGAUGCAAUCAGCAUGGGAUUGUUCCCACACAGGCUGGUGAGGCCUGUCGUGUAAAGAAUGAGGGUUUGUCACUAAAGUACCCAAAGGGAUGCUCUGUCAGAGAAGAGGCUCCAAGUAGGCAUGGAGGGCCUAGGGCCUGGGAAGCAGCACUGGGUGGGUGGGAAAGGUAUUUGGAAGAUCAGCAUCACAUUGAUGGUCCAAUUGGGGAAAAGGCCUGGAGUCCGGGAGCAGAAGUAUGUGGAGACACGCAUAGUUACAGAGCUGGCAGGAGAUGUUGGCUGGACUAGAUGUCAGAGGACCUCAUUCCUACAAGAACUGGGAGAGCAAAUCUGGGACUUAUUCUUGGAGGAAGUGGAAUAUUUAGGGUUUUAGGAAGGCAGAUACUUGGACAAAAAAACUGACUCACUGGGGUGUAAGGGGAAGGCUUGUUUCUAGAAACUAUAUGUCUGUUUUGCUUAUUGCUAUAUUGUUUCCAAGAGGAGGCCCUCUGCUUGGCACAUGGGAGGUAAUUAAGUGUUUGUUGAGUGAAUAAAUGAGGCAUAAGGCAGACACCCAGUUUCAGAAUGUAGGGCACGUGGUGAAAGCAGGUCUCUGAGUGGGGUUGACUUGAUGCCGACUCACCUGAGCAAUGACUAAGGACAUGGUUAUUGCAGAGCCUCGGGUGGGGCUGAAGCUGCAGGUGGCAUGUGCAGUGUCUGGGUGCAGGGCAUAUGUGGGAGAAAUUAGGAGGAUGAGGAGUAGGCAGGAAGCUCCUUACUCAUUCUAUGACAGCUUUACACAUUAUUGAUCUUCACUUUUGAUCAAAUAUAAUGAAAAUGUUUCCUGACUUUCCAUGGAACUUCUUACUAAGGAAGUCACAUGUCCCAAAUGCCCAGGAUUCACAAUCUUAUGAGCUACCAUUUAGUUUCCAUUUAUUUGCUUGCUAUGUGGCUGGUACUGUGAUGAGUUCAGUAUAGUCAAUAUCUCUAUUCCUCCCCGUAAUCCUUAGAGGUACUACUUUGCUUAUAAAGUCCCAGCUGCUGCUGCUGCUGGUGGUAUCUGCACCACAUGUGGAGAAGCAAGAAUCUACAGCAGGGUUGGCCAGAUAGUAAAUAUUUCCAGCUUUGUGGGCCAUAUGGUCUCUGUCACAUCUCUUCAUCUCUGCCACUGAAGUUCGAAGGCAGCCAUAGAUAAUACAUGGAUAAAUGAGUGUGGCUGUGUUCCAAGAGAACUUUAUUUAUGGACACUGAAAAUUGAGUUUCAUAUAAUUUUCAUAUGGCACAAAGUAUUUUUUAAUUUUUUUCAACCAUUGAAUAUGUAAAAAAAUUAGUUAAUGGGCCAUAGUUCCCUGACCCCCAGUCUAGAAAAUUCAGUGGCCUUGAUCCCAAAGUGUUGAAGAGCAUCCCAAAGAGGAUAGCCCAGGUUCUGAGAUUUUGUGAAACCACCACCAACCAAAACAGGUGGCAGGCAGGUGACUAACAUGAGGGAGCACCUCAUCUAGAGCGUGGGGCCAGAUUUGCCUGUGACAGCCUUUGUCACUUCCAGCAGGGUGACACAACAAAGUUUUUAAUGUCUUAGUACCUUAAUUUCCUCAUGUCCAAAGUGAGGCUAAAAACAGGGUGAUUGUGACAAGAAAAAGAAAUUAGUUAAUGCAGGGAAAGCGUUUGUGAUACCUGACAGAGAUGAAUUACAAGGUUAGACUUACAAUCUUAGCAUCACUGACUGAAGCAGGCUGUGAGGACAAGAGUCCCUCAGAACCUGACUGGACCUCAGAGCCAACCCACUCAAAGAUGACCUGAGAGAGAAUUUGCUGAUCGCUACACUGCAGUUGUCAACAGUCAUACAAUUUUGAGGACAAUUCUUUGAGGAAUUCAGAAUGAAGUUCAGUUCUAUAAAGGGCAGGUAAGGUCAGUGCAGAGUUCUUAUGAAGAUGCCUUUAUAGGGCAGGCAGCAGAAACCCUCAGGAGAACUGUUGGCAAGGCACAAGGACACGGUUGGUAUUAAAGUAAUCAGAGCAAUGAAUAUAGCUGACAGUUAUAUAGCAUUUAUUAAUAUCCUCUGCUUGGCAAUGGUCUAGUGUUUUCUAAGCAGAAAAUAUGUAGGUUUAGUUUACCCCCAUGAUCACUUUGUAAAGUAAGCACUAUUAUUAAACCCAUUUAAUAGAUAAGGCAACUGAGACUGAGAGGGUAAAUAAUAUGCCCAAAGCCAUGCUUUCUUUAAGUGGCAGCACAAUCUGGCUGCUGCAUCCUUGUUCUUAGUCUCCAGGCUGACAGUCUUUACCCCAGGCUCUCUAGGUCCUCGGAUAAAAUUAGCUUGGCCAGACUUGGGGACGGUGGGAUCAGGGAUUUCCUUCCAGGGAGCAAAUGGGGCUCUGGGGAUUUGCAAUACUUUUAUGUCACUAGGUUAUGACGGGUAGCAAAUAUGAUUCAUGUGCAAAUGGAAAUAACAGUUUUUGCCUUUGUAUUUCACAUUUACUAACCUCUCUAGCCAGAGUCCUGGUCUAGUCACACAGCAUACUGUACAAGUUCAGACUGUAUCCUGCAUUUUGAUGUAGAUUCAUUUUCAGAAGCGGGUAGGGGUGGCACACAUAUUUUUGUCUCUUUUCUGUGUGGGUGAUGACCCUGGCCUCAUAUGUGGACUGUGCACAGACAAUAUGAAACAGAAAGGUGCCCGUUAUGGAUCAGAAGGAAAUGCCACUUGAACCAGGGCUCCUGAAAUUAGUGCCUCUGAUUACUUGGAUCCUAUGAGUCUAUAGAAAACUUUGGGUGAUUCCCCACAUCAUGACUGUUGUUUUUUCCCAUCAGUAAUCUAAAAAGAGUUUUAGACUUUUUUUUUCUGUUUUAUCUAGCAAUUAAACAGAUCUUCUAAAACUGGAUUUGGGAAAGGAAUUUUUAAUAAGGGUAUUCCCAACUGCAUAUACCUCAGAGGAUUUGCACUGGAAAAUUGGUCUCA
rnacentral:lncRNA from 1 species